rnacentral:sRNA from 1 species
GCCAAAUAAUAUAUUUGGCUUCCUGAUGCAUGCGUAUGUUUUAAUUGGAGCUAUUAGGGAGAGGUGGAUACACUUAAGCACACUUGUACUACACUAUUGUUGCAGGCCCACUAUCAUAGUAUAUGAUUUCGUAGACAAACUCAAGUAAUGAUAUAUGUAGAUUAGUGCAAAGUUGGUACAUUUUCGACGAAUGUUACAUUUAAAGUUACUUUGUGCUAAUUUGAUAUAAUCAUCGGUUUUUGCUGCUGUUUUGGUGGUGGUGGUGGGAGGGGGUUGGACACUUGCAUACAUGUAGCUCUGUAAAGGCCUUUAAUGAUUAAUCUCAAAUUAGAGGUUUUGAAAACGACUCCGUUGUUUCAAUCAUAAACAAAGUGGCCAACUCUUGUAAUUUAAAGCUGGCAUUAAACAAAAAGAAACAACAAACAACACUUUUUUAUUGAAAAUUUGAAGCUAAAUUGCUCCUGUCAGUCGCCGAUAACAGAAUGAAUAUAACAGGACACGUUCAUGCAGUGACUGCAUCAUGUUGUUUAUCUGACAGACGUGUUUUGUCUCAAAUAAACUUUAAGUAAUUAGAUCUGUAACUAACGGACCCCCCUCCCGACUUUCUGUACUUUGACCACAAUAAUGACUCCGUUUUAUCCCAAAAUUCACCUUGUUAGCGCUCUCAUGCCUACAAAUUUUGACGGAUUUACGUGAAAUUUAUACCAAAUGUUUAUAUCACUAAUACCUUGGUCAAGUUCCUAAAUCAGCCUUGGUCGAUACUAGUAUAGAUCUACUGCUUGACCGGCGGGGGACCCAGGAAUUCUAUUCUUGUUAAUUUACACAUGUGAUGAGAUGUGCCGAUUUCAGACCCACGGUGAAUAAUAAAUCCCUCAUUGCGAUAGAGACCGUGAUGAAUAAUUUUCUCUUUCCCUGCUAUCAGUUUUUGUAUACCACGAGAGCGAUUUUUGAAAAAUUUAUUUGGAUUAAUAUCUAAGACCUUAAUAACACUCACUUUUUGGAAAAUGAUGGCGGCUUCCAAUUAAAUUAUGUGACAGUGGCCAUAUGAAUAAUGUUACGGUCGCAAGUUAUUAAGUGGCGGUCGCCAGAUAAUAUGUGUCGGCUGAUAGAUAAAAUAUUUUUUUUUAAGUUGCACCAACGGGCCUCCGUACAUUGCUGCCUUUUUGCACAAAAAUCAACGAUGGUUUGGAAGCAAGCAGAAACUGCUUUAUAAAACUUUUAACAUCUGGCAAACUUGUUCAUGAGAUCAGAUUUUAAUUUUUUCCUGUGCAAAACAGUUCUCCCAGUAACUUUGAAAUUGAAAGGGAUAAAGGUAUUGAAGAUUUCAAUUGAAUUGUUUAUAAUCAUAUUUAUAGAUAAAAGAAGUAAAUACAUCCAUUUCAAUUACAAUUUGCUCAUCAUUUCAGUUUGGACAAGAAUCUUGUACUUCAGGCAUUGACAGAGGUGAAGCUUGCAAAGCUCGACCUCUGGUGAGAGAAUUAGAAUUCUAUCAAAAAAUGUUGUUUAAUUCUAAUUUAAAAAUAAACCAAAUCAUGUUGUAUGUUUUAAUAUUGAAUUAUACAAGUGUGUGUGUGUGUGUGUGUGUGUGUGUGUGUGUGUGUGUGUGUGUGUGUGUACACGGUUGCUUUAUUUUAAAUGAUUCAGUGUUACCAAUACUUUGAAUCAUGAUGCUUCAAAUAUAAGUUGGUGGUUUAAACUGUUGAUAUCAAUACUGUUACUCUUUUUAGGCAAAAAAGUGUAAUGCUAUAAGAUGAAUAUGCUUUAGUUGUAAUUAUUUGUGAUUUUCUUUUUAAAAAAUAGUAAGUGAAUGAAUAUGGAUAGAAAUAAAAUUAUUAAAAAAAAA